UUGAAUGGCCGCAGUAUUUUGACUGUGCAAAGGUAGCAUAAUCAUUAGUUUCUUAAUUAGAAACUGGAAUGAAAGGUUGAACGAGAAAAUAACUGUCUCUUUAUGAAUUAUUUAGAAUUUUAUUUUUAAGUUAAAAAGCUUAAAUUUUUUUAAAAGACGAGAAGACCCUAUAGAGUUUUAUAUUAUUUUUUAUAUAAUUAUAAAUUGAAUUUUCAAAAUUAUAUUUAAAAUUAUAUUUAAUUGGGGUGAUUAAAAAAUUUGUAUAACUUUUUUUUUAUGUAAACAUUAAUUUAUGAAUUUUUGAUCCAUUUAUUAUGAUUAAAAGAUUAAAUUACCUUAGGGAUAACAGCGUAAUUUUUUUUUAGAGUUCUAAUCGAUAAAAAAGUUUGCGACCUCGAUGUUGGAUUAAAAUAAAAUUUUGGUGUAGAAGCUAAAAGAUUAGGUCUGUUCGACCUUUAAAAUUUUACAUGAUCUGAGUUUAAACCGGUGUGAGCCAGGUUGGUUUCUAUCUUUAAAAAUAUAAAAAAUAUUUUAGUACGAAAGGACCAAGUAUUUAUAAAAUUUAUUAUAAAUUGAAUAUUAUUAAU
rnacentral:rRNA from 1 species